CCUUCUUUCUGUCUGUUUCUAUCUUGCUCUGUCUUUCGUCCUCUAGAGGAAAGAAAAAAAAAAAUUGGCUGCUAGAGACUGCAUUGAACUCCAGCAUUAAUAGCCCUGGUGGGAGGAAGGGAGAGGGGGAGGAAAGGAGGGAGGGAGGGAGAGAGAGAGAGAGACUUUUUUUUUGGAGAGAUCACAGCAUUGUUCUGUCACUUACGAAUUUUUUUGUUUUGUUUUGUUUUUCUUGUUUUGGUCUUUUUUUUGCUUUUAUACUGUGUCAGGGAUCAAAUCCAGGGCCUCAUGAAUACAAGACAGAAGGUCUGGUGUUACACCAUCUCUCUGGCUCCUAGUCAUAAUUUCUUCAUACAUUUUUUUCUUUUUCAUAUGACUUUUAUGAUGUUUAUUAAUGUUCCACUUUUUAAAUUGAUCUGAAUUUUCUAAAGUUGUACUACCUCAAACAUUUUCUGAUGCACCUUAAUUGUAUAAAACACUUUGUUAAACAUUUCUACCAGAUAAGAAAAAUAUAUUAUGUUUUCUGACACUAAGGGUUGUUUAUUUUUCAUUUUGUUUUUUUGUUAUUGUCAGGGCUUUAUCACUAUGAGAUGAUUUUUUUUUCACAUAGGAACAAAGACAAACACAGAGGGAGAGAAGGCUUCUUCCAGUGUGGUGGCAACCAGAUUAUAACCUGGGUCAUUUGCAUGACAAAGCAAGUGUACCACUUAGACAGAGACAAAGGGCGAGAGAGCUCAUAGCAGGAAAUUCCCUCCAGAACCUGGGCCACAUGCAGGGCAAAGCAGGCACAUUAUCCAGGAACAAAGGGAAUGUGGAAAUGAAAGAGAGAGGGAGAGAGUGGCUGGCAGAUGUAAUGAGACGCGGUGAAGGUGUACG